CCUGGGCGUCCGGGAGCUUCUGACGCGCGCGCGGCUUCUCCGCCUCGGCUUCCCCGGUGCUGAGCGUGGACGAGGCCGCAUGGAGCAGGGUGCAGUGGCUUAUGCCUGUAAUCCCAGCACUUUGGAAGACUGAGAUGAGAGGAUUACUUGAAGCCAGGAGUUUGAGAACAGCCUAGGCAACAUGGAUGAAUCAUCUAUCCGAAAUGGCAGGCACCCACAGCUGCAGACCUCAAUCUGGAGACAGAGUUUUACCAUGGGCUGGUCUUGAAUUCCUGGACUCAUGCGACCCUCCUGCCUCAGCCUCCCAAAGCACUGGAAUUAGAGGCAUAAGCCACCUUGCCCAGCCAAAAUGUCUUUUAUGUCUACUGUUCUAGAAACAAACUUGCUCAGUUUACAAGCCA